rnacentral:rRNA from 1 species
GGUUAAGCGACUAAGCGUACACGGUGGAUGCCCUGGCAGUCAGAGGCGAUGAAGGACGUGCUAAUCUGCGAUAAGCGUCGGUAAGGUGAUAUGAACCGUUAUAACCGGCGAUUUCCGAAUGGGGAAACCCAGUGUGUUUCGACACACUAUCAUUAACUGAAUCCAUAGGUUAAUGAGGCGAACCGGGGGAACUGAAACAUCUAAGUACCCCGAGGAAAAGAAAUCAACCGAGAUUCCCCCAGUAGCGGCGAGCGAACGGGGAGGAGCCCAGAGUCUGAAUCAGUGUGUGUGUUAGUGGAAGCGUCUGGAAAGGCGCGCGAUACAGGGUGACAGCCCCGUACACAAAAAUGC